GACGAAAUGGCCGAGGGGUUAUGGCGUUUGGCUUAAGUUGUACUUAUUCCAAAUCCCGCAAGGGGUCGUGGGUUCGAAUCCCACUUUCGUCA